CCUACGGGAGGCAGCAGUGGGGAAUUUUGGACAAUGGGCGCAAGCCUGAUCCAGCAAUGCCGCGUGAGUGAAGAAGGCCUUCGGGUUGUAAAGCUCUUUUGUCAGGGAAGAAACGGUGAGGGCUAAUAUCCCUUGCUAAUGACGGUACCUGAAGAAUAAGCACCGGCUAACUACGUGCCAGCAGCCGCGGUAAUACGUAGGGUGCAAGCGUUAAUCGGAAUUACUGGGCGUAAAGCGUGCGCAGGCGGUUUUGUAAGUCUGUCGUGAAAUCCCCGGGCUCAACCUGGGAAUUGCGAUGGAGACUGCAAGGCUAGAAUCUGGCAGAGGGGGGUAGAAUUCCACGUGUAGCAGUGAAAUGCGUAGAGAUGUGGAGGAACACCGAUGGCGAAGGCAGCCCCCUGGGUCAAGAUUGACGCUCAUGCACGAAAGCGUGGGGAGCAAACAGGAUUAGAUACCCUGGUAGUCCACGCCCUAAAACGAUAGUCUACUAGUUAGUUCGGUUUUAACGUUUAACUUAGGUUAACGUACAGCUACGACGUGAAGUAGACCGCCGUCGGGAGGUACGGUCGCGAGAAGUUAAAACGUAACAAAUAGUAAGUUAGUACGGCGUGAGACGUAGCCGACGGACGACGACGAGGGAGGAGGGAG
rnacentral:rRNA from 1 species